GUUAAUCUUUGAACAAUAUUUUCUAAUAAAUAAGUUCUUUGAAUGAAAGAAUUAUCUUUUGGUGUGAACGUUGUACCUAUCAUAAAAACACGCGUAUCAAAAACAAGAGGUGAAAAAACAACGCUAAUGGCAUAUCAUGCAUUCGUGGUUUCAGCUUGUGAUUUGAAGAUUUGGAUUGGUCAUAUGGGGCAACUCGAGUUUUUUAAAAGAAGACUGCACCAGUGGUUAUUAAAUAAGUGCUUCUGCC